rnacentral:rRNA from 1 species
AGGGAAACCGAGUCUUAACCGGGCGUUAAGUUGCAGGGUAUAGACCCGAAACCCGGUGAUCUAGCCAUGGGCAGGUUGAAGGUUGGGUAACACUAACUGGAGGACCGAACCGACUAAUGUUGAAAAAUUAGCGGAUGACCUGUGGCUGGGGGUGAAAGGCCAAUCAAACCGGGAGAUAGCUGGUUCUCCCCGAAAGCUAUUUAGGUAGCGCCUCGUGAAUUCAUCUCCGGGGGUAGAGCACUGUUUCGGCUAGGGGGCCAUCCCGGCUUACCAACCCGAUGCAAACUGCGAAUACCGGAGAAUGUUAUCACGGGAGACACACGGCGGGUGCUAACGUCCGUCGUGAAGAGGGAAACAACCCAGACCGCCAGCUAAGGUCCCAAAGUCAUGGUUAAGUGGGAAACGAUGUGGGAAGGCCCAGACAGCCAGGAUGUUGGCUUAGAAGCAGCCAUCAUUUAAAGAAAGCGUAAUAGCUCACUGGUCGAGUCGGCCUGCGCGGAAGAUGUAACGGGGCUAAACCAUGCACCGAAGCUGCGGCAGCGACACUGUGUGUUGUUGGGUAGGGGAGCGUUCUGUAAGCCUGUGAAGGUGUGUCGUGAGGCAUGCUGGAGGUAUCAGAAGUGCGAAUGCUGA